UCGACUCCCAGCUUCCUUCCCACCACACAUUCAGGCAGACCACACAGCAGGAGCCUCCACAGACUUAUUUAAGUCCACAAAGCAAAUCUGACUCCCUUAACCUUGAGAGGCAAACACUGAGGAAGAGUCUCGCUUCCUUUGUCAGAUGGUCUGAAUCCGGCUCAGGCG